rnacentral:rRNA from 1 species
UAACGGCGAGUGAAGCGGCAAAAGCUCAAAUUUGAAAUCUGCGUAAGCCGAGUUGUAAUUUGAAGAUGGCUACUUUGGUAAUGGCUCUUGUCUAUGUUCCUUGGAACAGGACGUCACAGAGGGUGAGAAUCCCGUGCGAUGAGAUGUCCAUUACCGUGUAAAGUGCUUUCGAAGAGUCGAGUUGUUUGGGAAUGCAGCUCUAAGUGGGUGGUAAAUUCCAUCUAAAGCUAAAUAUUGGCGAGAGACCGAUAGCGAACAAGUACAGUGAUGGAAAGAUGAAAAGAACUUUGAAAAGAGAGUGAAAAAGUACGUGAAAUUGUUGAAAGGGAAGGGCUUGAGAUCAGACUUGGUAUUUUGUAUGGCUUGCUUUCGGGCGGGUCCUCUGCAGUUUACUGGGCCAGCAUCGGUUUGGGUGGCAGGAUAAUAGCAUAGGAAUGUGGCUCUACUUCGGUGGAGUGUUAUAGCCUUUGUUGAUACUGCCUGCCUAGACCGAGGACUGCGUCUUUUGACUAGGAUGCUGGCAUAAUGAUCCUAAGCCGCCCGUCUUGAAACACGGACCAAGGAGUCUAACGUCUAUGCGAGUGUUUGGGUGUAAAACCCGUACGCGGAAUGAAAGUGAACGUAGAUGAGAGCCUUUUAGGCGCAUCAUCGACCGAUCCUGAUGUCUUCGGAUGGAUUUGAGUAAGAGCAUAGCUGUUGGGACCCGAAAGAUGGUGAACUAUG